ACGUAGGUGGCAAGCGUUGUCCGGAUUUAUUGGGCGUAAAGCGAGCGCAGGCGGUUUUUUAAGUCAGAUGUGAAAUCCUUCGGCUCAACCGAAGAAGUGCAUCUGAAACUGGGAAACUUGAGUGCAGAAGAGGAAAGUGGAACUCCAUGUGUAGCGGUGAAAUGCGUAGAUAUAAGGAGGAACACCAGUGGCGAAGGCGGCUGUCUGGUCUGUAACUGACGCUGAGGCACGAAAGCAUGGGUAGCAAACAG
rnacentral:rRNA from 1 species